rnacentral:tRNA from 1 species
GCCGGUGUGGCUCAGUGGAUAGAGCGUUAGCCUGCUGACCAAAGGGUCCCAGGUUCUAUUCCGGUCAAGGGCA